rnacentral:rRNA from 1 species
CCUACGGGUGGCAGCAGUGGGGGAUAUUGCACAAUGGGGGGAACCCUGAUGCAGCGACGCCGCGUGGGUGAAGAAGCGCCUCGGCGCGUAAAGCCCUGUCAGCAGGGAAGAAGAUGACGGUACCUGAAGAAGAAGCCCCGGCUAACUACGUGCCAGCAGCCGCGGUAAUACGUAGGGGGCAAGCGUUAUCCGGAUUUAUUGGGUGUAAAGGGGGCGCAGGCGGCGGUGCAAGCCAGGAGUGAAAGCGCGGGGCCAAACCCCGGGCCUGCUGUUGAAACUGCGUGGCUGGAGUGCAGGAGGGGCAUGCGGAAUUCCUGGUGUAGCGGUGAAAUGCGUAGAUAUCAGGAGGAACCCCGGUGGCGAAGGCAGCCUGCUGGACUGAAACUGACGUUGAGGCACGAAAGCGUGGGUAGCGAACAGGAUUAGAUACCCGGGUAGUC